ensembl:antisense
GCAGAGACUUCCAGCCAUGGAACAACCAUUUGGUGAAGAGUAGACUUUGAGUCAUGGAGCUUUUGCAGGUCCACGGAACUAGGAUAUCAUGACUCAAAGACAUGGAUUGAGGAGCAAGAAUUCUAUCUCAAGGUGUCCCUCAGUAUGUACAUCAUUGCUGAUGCAACCUUGGCAUCCACCAAGUCCUAAUCCCAGCAUCCCACUGAAACCUGAGUCGGCUCCUCAUCAUCAGGCUCCUCCCUGAUUCUAACAAUAAGAGAACGGGCUGCAUCAAGGAUUAAAACAUCUAUUCAACCA